rnacentral:rRNA from 1 species
UGGAAUGGUUUUGGGAAAGCCAGCCAGAGAGGGUGAAAGCCCCGUACAUGAAAUCCGAGAUGACACGGCAGGAUCCAGAGUACCACGAGACACGAGAAACCUUGUGGGAACGCGCGGGGACCACCCCGUAAGGCUAAAUACUCCUUAGUGACCGAUAGUGCAUAGUACUGUGAAGGAAAGGUGAAAAGGACCCCGGGAGGGGAGUGAAAGAGAACCUGAAACCCUGUGUUUACAAGCUGUGGAACACCUUUAUAUGGUGGACCGCGUACUUUUUGUAGAACGGUCCGGCGAGUUGUGCAUACUGGCAAGGUUAAGCGUCUAAGACGCGGAGCCGUAGGGAAACCAAGUCUGAACAGGGCCAGAGUCAGUAUGUGCAGACCCGAAACCGGGUGAUCUAUCCAUGUCCAGGUUGAAGCUGCCGUAAGAGGUAGUGGAGGACCGAACGCACAUCCGUUGAAAAGGGUGGCGAUGAGGUGUGGAUAGGGGAGAAAUUCCAAUCGAACCCGGAGAUAGCUGGUUCUCCUCGAAAUAGCUUUAGGGCUAGCCUCGGUAUAGAUUCAUGGAGGUAGAGCACUGAAUUUCCUAGGGGGCGUCAAAGCCUACCGAAGAAUAUCAAACUCCGAAUGCCAUCGAACCGAUUACCGGGAGUCAGACUAUACGAGAUAAGUUGGAUAGUCAAAAGGGAAAGAGCCCAGACCUCCAGCUAAGGUCCCAAAGUGCGUGUUAAGUGGAAAAGGAUGUGGGAUUUCAAAGACAACCAGGAUGUUGGCUCAGAAGCAGCCAUCCAUUCAAAGAGUGCGUAAUAGCUCACUGGUCGAGAGGUCCUGCGCCGAAAAUGUCCGGGGCUGAAACACGACACCGAAGCUGAGGAAUGACAUAGUCAUUGGUAGAGGAGCAUUGAAUGCGGGAAGAAGCAGUACCGUAAGGAGCUGUGGACUGCAUUGAAGAGAGAAUGCCGGAAUGAGUAGCGAGAACAAGGUGGGAAUCCUUGUGGCCGAAUAUCUAAGGUUUCCAGGGUAAAGCUGAUCUGCCCUGGGUAAGUCGGGGCCUAAGGCGAGGUCGAAAGACGUAGCCGAUGGACAACAGGUUGAGAUUCCUGUACUGCGAUAUGACAGAACUGUGGGGACACGUGUGGAGAGCACAACCCGGGAAUGGAAUCCCGGGGCAAGCGAGGUAGGAGUCACAUAGGAAAAACCGUGUGGCGAUCCGAAGGCGUGAUGCGGACCGAACUAAAGUAGGGAAGUGUGUGAGCCAUGCGUCAAGAAAAGCCGCUAUUGUUCAUAUCGUACCCGUACCGUAAACCGACACAGGUGGAUGAGGAGAGAAUCCUAAGGCCGACGGAAGAAGCAUUGCCAAGGAACUCGGCAAAAUGACCCCGUAACUUCGGGAGAAGGGGUGCCAUCGAGAGAUGGCCGCAGAGAAUAGGCUCAAGCAACUGUUUAGCAAAAACACAGGUCUAUGCGAAACCGAAAGGUGAGGUAUAUGGGCUGACGCCUGCCCGGUGCUGGAAGGUUAAGAGGAGAUGUCAGGAAACGAAGCAUUGAAUUUAAGCCCCAGUAAACGGCGGCCGUAACUAUAACGGUCCUAAGGUAGCGAAAUUCCUUGUCGGGUAAGUUCCGACCCGCACGAAAGGCGUAAUGAUUUGAGCGCUGUCUCGGCAAUGCAUCCGGUGAAAUUGAAGUACCAGUGAAGAUGCUGGUUACCUGCGCCAGGACGGAAAGACCCCAUGGAGCUUUACUCCAGUUUGGUACUGGGGUCCGGUAUUGCAUGUACAGGAUAGGUGGGAGGCUAAGAAGUGGUGACGCCAGUUGCCAUGGAGCCGAUGUUGGGAUACCACCCUUGCAGUAUUGGGCUUCUAACCAGCCGCCGUUAGCCGGCGGUGGGACAAUGCCAGGCGGGGAGUUUGACUGGGGCGGUCGCCUCCGA